rnacentral:rRNA from 1 species
UACGGGGGGAGCAAACGUUGUUCGGAAUCACUGGGCGUAAAGGGAGCGUAGGCGGCCAUGUAAGUGAGGUGUUAAAUCCCCCGGCUCAACCGGGGACCUGCACCUCAUACUGCACGGCUUGAGUACAUCAGAGGAGACUGGAAUUCCCGGUGUAGAGGUGAAAUUCGUAGAUAUCGGGAGGAACACCAGUGGCGAAGGCGCUGACCUGGACGAUGGAUUGACGCUGGAGGCGCGAAAGCGUGGGGAGCAAACAGG